rnacentral:SRP_RNA from 1 species
GCCGGGCGCAGUGGCACGUGCCUGUAGUCCCGGCUACCCGGGAGACUGAGGUGGGAGGAUCGCUUGAGCCCAGGAGUUCUGGGCUGUAGUACACUAUGCUGAUCGUGUGUCCACACUAAGUUUGGCAUCAAUAUGGUGAUCUCCUGGGAGUGGGGGACCACCAGGUUGCCUAAGGAGGGGUGAACUGGCCUAGGUCAGAAACGGAGCAGGUCAAAACUCCUGUGCUGAUCAGUAGUGGGAUCGCGCCUGUGAACAGCCACUGCACUCCAGCCUGGGCAACAUAGCGAGACCCCAUCUCU